rnacentral:rRNA from 1 species
AUUGAACGCUGGCGGCAGGCCUACCACAUGCAAGUCGAGCGAGCGGCGGACGGGUGAGUAAUGUCUGGGAAACUGCCUGAUGGAGGGGGAUAACUACUGGAAACGGUAGCUAAUACCGCAUACCAUCAGAUGUGCCCCGAUGGGAUUAGCUGGUCGGUGGGGUAACGGCUCACCUAGGCGACGAUCCCUCGCUGGGCUGAGAGGAUGACCAGCAACAAGGGAACUGAGACACGGGCCAGACUCCUACGGGAGGCAGCAGUGGGGAAGAGUGCACAAUGGGCGCAAGUCAGAUGCAGCCAUGCCGCGUGUGUGAAGAAGGCCUUCGGGUUGUAAAGCACUUUCAGCGGGGAGGCGUUACCCGCAGAAGAAGCACCGGCUAACUCCGUGCCAGCAGCCGCGGUAAUAC